rnacentral:misc_RNA from 1 species
GAAAAUUCGCAGAGAAAAAUCCCAAAAUCGAACAAACGAAAGUCAAUUUGGCAAUGGAGGUUCCAGGUUCAUCGAAGAAGAUGAUUGCAACACAAGAAGAAAUGGUGGAGAACAAAGUGCCAUUAGCAUAUAGGGAUCAGUGCGCACACCUUUUGAUCCCUUUGAACAAGUGUCGGCAAUCGGAAUUUUAUCUUCCAUGGAAGUGCGAGGAUGAGCGCCAUACAUAUGAGAAGUGUGCGUAUGAGCUUGUUAUGGAACGGAUGCUUCAGAUGCAGAAGAUCCGUGAAGAGGAGGCGAAACUCAAACAAGCCCAGAAGCACGGAAGCCCCAUACCUCUCAUCCCCAAAACUGC